UUUAUUGGUAUGUAAAAUUUUAUAAUAAUUUUUUUAUUUUAGUAAUGAUUUGUGAAAUAAUAGAAUAAUUAAUAGAUUUAGUAAUGUAAAUGAAUUUUUUAAAAAUUAAAUAAGUAAAAUUUAUUUUGUACCUUUUGUAUCAGGGUUAAUUAAUAUAAUUUAAUAAGUUUAAUAAUCUCGAAAGAAAAAGAGUUAAAUAUAUAGUUAUGUUAUUGUAGCAAAAAUAAUUAAAAUAUAUAUUUAGAGAUUAGAUGUUAAUCGAUUUUUUUUAUAUCUAGUUUUUUUUGAAAUAAAUUUAAUUUAUAUAUAAUAAGUAUAAAAAAUUUAUUAAUGAAUUUUUUAUAUUUUUAUAUAAAAAAUUUAUGGGAUAAUCUAUAAAUUUAAAUAUAUAAUUGAAUUUUAUAUAAUAAUAGUUAUAUUGAUUUAGAAAUAAUUUAUAUAAAUGAGUAUUUAAUAAUUCAAUUUAAUUUAUUUAAGAAUAAAAAUUUAUAUUAUAAUAAAUUUAUUAUAUAAAUAUAUAUAUAUAUAUAUUUAUUAAAAAAAAAUAAUUUUUAAUUUUAGAAAAUUAAGUAUAAUGAUUAUAUUAGUAAUAUUAAUUUUGUAAGAUAUAAAUGUUAAUUAUUUAUAUAUAAAUAUAUGUAUAUAUAAGGAAUUAGGCAAAUUUAGUAUAUCCACCUGUUUACCAAAAACAUGGCUUAUUGAUAAUAAUUUUAGGUCAAUCUGCCCAAUGAUUUAAAUUUAAUGGCUGCAGUAUAACUAACUGUACAAAGGUAGCAUAAUCAAUUGUUUUUUAAUUGAAAACUGGGAUGAAAGAAUUAAUGAGAUAUAUUCUGUCUCAUAUAUAUGUUAUGAAAUUAAAUUUUUAGUAAGAAUGCUGAAAUUUAUUUAUGGGACGAUAAGACCCUAUAGAAUUUUAUAUUUAUUUUUAAAUUUUAUUUAAUUUAGGAAUAAAUAUUUAGUUGGGAGGACUGAUAAAUUUAAAUAACUUUACUUUAAAUAUAUACUUUAAUUAAAGAAUAAUUUUAGGUCUUUUAUUAAAAAUUAGAAGAAAAAAUUACCUUAGGGAUAACAGCGUAAUAUCUUUUUAAAGGCCAAAUUAAAAAAGAUGAUUGCGACCUCGAUGUUGAAUUAAGAUAAAUUUUAAAUGAAGAAGUUUAAUAAUUAAGUCUGUUCGACUUUUAAAAUCUUACAUGAUUUGAGUUCAAAUCGACGUGAGUCAGAUUGGUUUCUAUCUAUAAAAUAAAUUAAGUUAUUUGUACGAAAGGACUAUAAUUUAUAAUUAAAUUAUUAUUAAUUAAUAAAU
rnacentral:rRNA from 1 species